rnacentral:sRNA from 1 species
AGUGCGGCCGUCAUGGCGUCGCCCUUCAGCGGGGCGCUGCAGCUGACGGACCUGGAUGACUUCAUCGGGCCGUCUCAGGAGUGCAUCAAGCCUGUCAAAGUGGAAAAAAGGGCGGGAAGUGGCGUGGCCAAGAUUCGCAUUGAAGAUGACGGGAGCUACUUCCAAAUUAACCAAGACGGCGGGACCCGGAGGCUGGAGAAGGCCAAGGUCUCGCUAAACGACUGCCUGGCGUGCAGCGGCUGCAUCACCUCCGCAGAGACCGUGCUUAUCACCCAGCAGAGCCACGAGGAGCUGAAGAAGGUUCUAGAUGCUAACAAGGGGUGCACUUCGUCUUCGACACCGCCUUCUCAAGGCACUUCAGCCUCCUGGAGAGCCAGCGAGAGUUUGUGCGGCGAUUCCGAGGACAGGCCGACUGCAGACAGGCGCUGCCCCUGCUGGCCUCCGCCUGCCCAGGCUGGAUCUGCUAUGCCGAGAAGACCCACGGCAGUUUCAUCCUCCCCCACAUCAGCACCGCCCGGUCCCCGCAGCAGGUCAUGGGCUCCCUGGUCAAGGACUUCUUCGCCCAGCAGCAGGUAACGGUGUUGGGCCAGCCCCAGACUCGGGCUGGGGAGCGGCCAGAAGUGACUACGCUGGCCUCUUGCCAUGAGGCUGCAGGAAACAGAGUCCUCGCCGUGGUGUGCGGCCUUCCCGAGUACACCUCCACCCUUGUUCCCUCCUGGUUCAGGCCCCUCCUCUUCUGCAGCAGAGGGCUUCGUUCUGAUCCAGAGGUGCUCACUGCUCACCCAGAGGCAGCCAGGCCUGAGGCUGAGGGAGCAGGAGGCCCUGGGCAGUCCGGGCCUGGAGCCCACCCCUCCGGCCACCAGGUCCACGAGGAUGCCCAGCAUGACCCCCACCUGAGGCCCAGCGGGAUAGAAGCCUGACGACACUCAGCCAGCAGGGGGCGGGAGAGGGCGAGGGCGG